AGCCGUGAGGAGAAACGAAUAUUCUUCACAGCAUAAACAACAGCGCGUUAAAAAUAAAUGGGAACGAAUUCGUUUGUCCACUAGAGAUGAAGAACUGUAAACAAUAAAAACAGAUGACACAAAAAUAUAUAUAUAUAUAUAAAUAUAUAUAUUAUUUUGUUCGUAGAGGCCUGUGUGUUUUCACAGUAUUAUCACUUUAAAAUGAACAUCGAAUAAUUUUGUCUUUAAAUGUCAAUUUCGUAUUAUCGUUCUCAGUUUUUCGUCAAAGCUUAGUUUUAAAGUCCUUUAUUUGUCAGCAGAUGUGAUUCUACAGUAAGGCAGGGUUGGAAACAGUAUUUGUAUCGCGUCUCCUCCGCCACAGCCACGCCUUCGUUUUCCACAAUAGGAACAGACGUCACGCACGGAAGCACCAUAUAUGGCCCGUUGACUAAGACCGACAUUCCAUAUAUGGCUCUUGACGCUCUCACAAUUCUUUUCCCACUGGCACGUGGUCGUUGGGGUUACCCGUGUUUUUAUUUUGUGACGUGAGUUUAAGCAGUACCGUAGAGCCGUAGAACCGCAACACACACACACACACACACACACGUUAGAGUGCGUUCUAUUAUGACACCUGUGUGGUUGGCUUGAGGGCCUUGGGCAAGGUCACAUCGUUAAAUCAGGAACAUUAAACCACGCGCUGAAGGCGAUGUGUUUUCAUGCUUGACCAUACCAUGUCAUUUUGUGUGGGUAAAAUACACCGCGCUGCAACUUUCCACACAGGUGUACACUUUCGGUGGGUGAUGCAAUUUGUUAAAAUGACAGAUAUAAAGGAUGCUAAGAAAAAGCAAAACAGCAAUGCAGUGCAUUUAUUGCUAUAAUACAAUUUAUAAAGAUUGCACAGCUGAUGGCAGAUGGAGUAUUCUGACGACUCAGUCACAGGCUUCCCGGCCUCAUCCAAAAUAUCUAGAAUGUCUUCCGAAGACGAACAAAGCUUUUACAGGUUUGGAACGACAUGGGGGUAAGUGAUUAAUGACAAAAUUUUCAUUUUGGGGUGGAGUAUCCCUUUAAAGUACAUUUUAAAUCAUCUUUUUGCUAAUUUUUUGGUCAUUUUUUUAAAUAGUAGCUACAUUUAUUUUGAUGUGCUGAAUACUAAAGUACAUGUAAAGUAUUUGACUGUAAUUUUACCUGUAGUGUGUUAUUCAAAUAUUACAUUUAAGGCUUUACAGUAAAAUGCCUGCAUAAAUUAUGCAGUACACUGCAUAUUACUUAGUAAUACUUAAGUGGGUCAAAAGCACUCUUAAGUUUAGCUAAUUCUGUUCA
rnacentral:lncRNA from 1 species